GCAGAAAAAAGAGAGCCGCAUUUGCGCAUGCGGUUGUGACGUCAGUGCAGCAUGUGCAAAGAGCCCAUCUAGUGUAAUAACAUCACACUGCUACGUUUGCUUUACGGGGGUAUUGUAAUCCCUAGGGGGACCCAGAAAAAUCUUUGGGAACCACUGAGAUAGUUAGUUAUGUGGAUCGCCUCGACACCAGGUAAAUUCUCAAGAUUAUUAGAGAAGUGUUGGGAACAGGGGUUUUGGUUCUUUGUGGUGAUUUGCUGUUUGCCUACUGCUUCCCUCUUCGGCCACUAGAUGGUGGUAGAGGCUGCUACACCUUGGAGGGCGUGCCUGCUGACUCAGGUCAGCACACCUGUGAUUCAUCACCUAAUCAUCCAGGAGUAUAUGAGGAGCAGGCUGCCAGCACUGAGUGUUUGCCAGUUAUGGUGUUUCCUUGUGACGCCUUGGAAAUUCCCCUGUGAAGCCCGGGUCCUGACUUUCUGGAUCUCUCCCCUCGUGACGCCGUGGAUUGUUACUCACUGGUUGCCCGAGUUCCUUCCUGGCCUGUGCAGAUCUUCAAUAAACCAUUCCUGGAUUCUCAGCUGGCAGUCGGUUCGCUCCUCGCUCCUCCACACCUGAACUUACCUGUCCGCCCUCCACCGCAGCCUCUACAUCUACCUGCAAAGAACUCACUCAGUCAAGAUCUGACACUGGAACCCGGAUCACUUCAAGGACACCCACAAAGAGACCAAACCACGGCAUCGGCCCCUGGAGGAAGUCCAUCUUCAUCUCAAGCAGGGGAAGAGGUUGGCGAGCUCCAUGAAGAGUGGCAGCAGGACGAACCUGAUGAAGCCGAUCUGAGAUGAAGGUUUGGUCA